rnacentral:lncRNA from 1 species
CCCAUCACCAUGCCUGGCUAUAUUAUUAAUUUUUUUUUAAUGAGAGAUUUGGUCUUACUAUAUUGCCUAAGCUGGUCUCCAACUCCUGGCCUCAAGUGAUCUUCCCACCUCCUCCUCCCAAGGUGCUGGGUUUACGAGUGUGAGAUGCCAUAAAGAAAAUGAUCAAGGAAUUAGAAAAUAGACAUAAUCUGGUAUUAGUGAUGGAUGGGUGAAAAUCCUUUUAUUUUAGGAAGUGUUCCGAUUGCAUCUUGUCACAGCAGCUGAAAGAAAUUAUAGCUGGAGUCUUUGUGGUAAGCAUAGCCCUAAGAUGGUUUUCAAGAUUCCUAGUUGCUGAUGGUGUCUCAGUCCCGCACCUUGUAUAAUCCUCUCCCUUUGGAAGGAGGCAGGAACUGUGAAUAUAAUGGAAUAGCCACUCCAAAGAUUACAUUACAUCACGUAAGCCUCUGUCUUAGAUGGGAGGGAUUCUCCUCUUGGCUGUCAGCUGCCGUAUUGUGAGAGGGAUCUGUGAAAGGGCCAAGGAACAAGGAACCUUGGGGUCCCCCAGGACCUGACAGUGGGCCCUGGCUGAUAGCCAACAACAAAGCUCUGAAGCUGCAAGAAACUGAAUUCUGCGAAGAUGACCCUGAGGUUGAGAAAGUAUCACUGCCCGGCUGAUAUCUCAUGAGAUUCCUGCACUUAUGACAACCUGACCCAGCCAGGAGUUCUGAUUCACAGAAAUUGUGAGAUAAUAA